AAGAAAUUUAUACCCUAAAUCCCUAAUAUUGAAAAAAUUCCCCCAUUUUUCACGGACACAACAGCAUCUCAUCCCACCAGAUCGGUCGUCGCCCAGCUCCAAGCAUUGAUUAUCUCGACGCCGGCGUCAACCUUCACCGCCCGAGACUGAUCGUCGUCAAUCGUCAACUCUUUGUGCCUUCCAUGAUCGUCAUUCGACGCCGCUGAUCUCUCUCUCUCUCUCUCAUUAAAUCUCAUAUUUAUAAAUCAAGCACUGGUCUCUCACUGGUCAAGCUUCAUCGUCGUCAAGCACUGGUCUCUCAUUCUGUUUGUCUCAUAUUUAAAUCUCUCGGUCUCUCACCCUCCCACUCUCUCUGUUCUCAUUUAAGAGCUUGGUACGCCCAGCACUGUAUAAGGAUCUAUGCUGCCAAGGGCAGGUUAACCUUGCAAGUAUGAGAAAACCCAGAAUAAUGGAGUUGAUUACCGAUUAGUGGGGUAGCUGGAUUAUUGUUGGACUGUGCAGCGGCCUUGCUGAUAUCGACAAUCAUAAAACAGAAAUAGGGUAGGCUUGGGAAAUGGAUUGCAAUAAAGAUGAAGCUACCAGGGCAAAAGAGAUUGCUGAGAAGAAGUUCAUGGCGAAGGACAUUGCGGGUGCAAAGAAAUUUGCUUUGAAAGCUCAAAAUUUGUUUCCCGGGCUUGAGGGAAUUCCCCAAAUGUUAGCAACACUUGAUGUAUACAUUUCUGCUGAGAACAAAAUAAACGGGGAAGCAGAUUGGUAUGGGAUACUUGGUGUAGAACAACAAGCUGACGAUGAGGCGGUGAGGAAACAAUAUAGGAAGCUGGCACUUAUGCUUCAUCCUGAUAAGAACAAAUCUAUAGGAGCUGAGGGAGCAUUUAAACUUAUUUCUGAGGCAUGGACUUUGUUGUCUGAUAAAGCCAAAAGAAUAGCAUAUGACCAAAAGAGGAACGCAAAAUCAUUAACAAAAGCUCCUAUGACUGGGGGUUCAUCAACAUCAAAAGGGACGAAUGGAUUUUACAAUUUCACAAAAAGUACGAAAUCCAAUGCAAGGCCUCCAAAGAGUACUACACGACCAAGCCAUUCUUCAACUCCUUCUCCAUCUUAUAAGCCAAAACCCAAUACCUUUUGGACAGUGUGCCAUCGAUGCAAGAUGCAAUAUGAGUACCUUAGAGUUUAUCUCAAUCAUAAUCUCCUAUGCCCCAAUUGCCAUGAGGCAUUUUUUGCUGUAGAAACAGCCCCACCUCCUGUAAAUGGUUCAAAGCCUCCCACAUGGACUUUCUCACAGAAACAGCAGAAUUCAAAUCAUCAAACAAGUAAUAAAAGCACAUCGAAUGCUGGAAAGACAAGCUCAACCUCACCAAAGGUGGGAGCUGGUGGGACUGAUCCAUAUAACCAAAAUAACUUCCAAUGGGGUCCAUUCUCGAGAACUACUGCUGCGUCAGCAGCUGCUCAAGCUGCAAGCAUGGUUCAGCAAGCCUAUGAGAAAGUGAAGAGAGAGCGAGAGGAGGCACAGGCUGCAACAAAAAGAGAGGAGGCUUUGAGAAGGAAGCAUCAUUCCUCUAAGAAGACAAGUGGUGCUUCAUCCAUGGGGCAGUCUAGUGCUGCAAAAAGAAGAAGAGUGAUGGAUGAUGUUAAUGCGAGCACCCAGGGAAGGGAUGUUAUGAAUCAGAUGGGGGGUAAAGCUGCUGGAGCAGCUAACUUGUCUGGAUCUAAACAGGCCAAAUCAGAAGCAGGUAGGGUCGGUGGAAUCACCAAGCUUAGUAUUACGAAGGAUGUUUCCCAUCUUGAAAUUCAGAAUAUGCUCAUGGAGAAGGCUAGGAAGGAAAUUGGCCAGAAACUGAAGGAAUGGAACUCAGCUAAAUUAGCUAAACCUGGAGUCAAUGGAACAGGGAAUCAAAAUGAGAAAGCAGAAAAAACUGUGAGAAACAGUAGCACAAGCCCUGUUCCAGACAAGUCUGGUGAGCCAGUGGAUACAAAGAUUGGUGAAUUUUCUAGGAAAGUUCCUGGUGCUUCUGGUUCCAAGUUAGAUGCAGAAACCCUAGAAACAAUGACAAUAAAUGUCCCUGACCCAGAUUUUCAUGAUUUUGACAAGGAUCGAACUGAAAGGUCUUUUGAAGAUAAUCAGGUAUGGGCUGCAUAUGAUGAUGAUGAUGGGAUGCCUCGGUAUUAUGCCAUGAUUCAUAGUGUGGUGUCUCUGAAUCCAUUCAAAAUGCGUAUCAGUUGGCUUAACUCAAAAACUAAUACUGAAUUGGGUCCUUUAAACUGGGUUGCUUCUGGUUUCUCAAAAACAUGUGGAGAUUUCAGAGUAGGCAAAUAUGAAAUCAAUAACUCACUUAAUUCUUUUUCACACAAGGUUCGAUGGUCAAAAGGUGCACGUGGAGCCAUUGGUAUAUAUCCCAGGAAAGGUGAUGUUUGGGCUCUGUAUCGGAAUUGGUCCCCUGAUUGGAAUGAACUAACAGCAGAUGAAGUAAUACAUAAAUAUGACAUGGUGGAGGUGCUUGAAGACUAUAGUGAAGAAUUAGGUGUUACCGUUACUCCCCUGAUCAAGGUAGCCGGUUUCAAGACAGUUUUUCACCGGCACUUGGACCCCAGAGAGGUCAGAAGGAUUCCAAGAGAAGAGAUGUUCCGGUUCUCUCAUCAUGUCCCUUCAUACUUGCUCACUGGUCAAGAAGCUCCUAAUGCUCCUAAAGGUUGCCGGGAGCUGGACCCUGCCGCUACCCCUAUGGAACUUCUUCAAGUGAUAACAGAUGUCAAAGAAGAAGAGAUUGUAGAGAUUGGUGAGAAAGCUAAGAAAGACAAUAUAGUGGGUGAAAAAACUAAAGAAGACAGUAUGGUAGAUGAUGUUGGAAAAGCCAAUGACAAGGAUAUCACCAAAACUUUCAGCAAAGCUAGUGAAGAAGAGAAGGGAUAUUCCAAAGAGUCGGAGGUAAUAGAUACAGUGGAGAAUGCCAAGGGCCAUACAGUAACAAACCAAGUUGGUUGAGAUUUGUAUUAUUUGAAGUGAAGCAAACACAAUUUUUCGACUUGGUUUUAUAUUGUCUGAAGUGAUUCAUAACUUCUACCAUCCAUGUCUUCAUGAUGAUGCUGGGACUGCAAUUUCACUCGGACUUGGGGUCAGAACAUUCUUUAAUCCCAACAUUAUGUUUUCUGCAACUCGAAGAUUGUUUAAUGUUGGACCAAUGUGGUUCUGGAAAGUUUUGGCAUCUCAGAGUUAGAAGGUUCAUGUGCAGUGGUUCAUUCUGGAUGGGGAUUUAUUUCAAGGCUUUAGAAGAUGAAGGCUGUAUGUUGAAGGUGGGAUAGGGUCAGUUUCCAUGGCUAUUGGUAAUGCUGCUAUGGAAGCUGGGAUCGCAUCACAACAAGCGCAGAGCUUGAAAAAUUAUUGGUUGAAGACUCAGGCAGAGAUAACGUGGUUAGUUAGUUAUUCAUGGUUCCCUUUAGAAAGUGCAGUGUAGAAUCUUUGAUCAAACUGAACAGAUAUUGUUCAGUAUUGCUGGCUGAUGGAAUGCGAGUGCGCUCUUCAGUUGUCUUAUCACAGCAACCCCUUAUAAAACUUUGAAGCAGUAAUGUUCUUCUUGGCAAUUUGCACCACACUAUUGAAUAUUCUGACUACAGACAGCUCUGGAACUACAAGAAUAAAUGUGGCAGUUGAUAAAUUGCCCCAGUUCGAAAGUUGCAAGUCAAGUCAUCCUGAUACAGGUCCUCAGCAUAUGGGUGCAAUUCAUAUUGGUUCAGAGGACCUAAUAUGGAAUAAUCAGACAUAUCAUGUACUAGUUUCCAAUUGGCACUGGUAUAUUCAAAGACUUAAUGUGUCAUCAUCACGAGUGUAAUUCAGAGAACUAACCACUUGAGUUUAAUUUGGAGAACUUGGACUAGUAUUAUAAGUAUUUUAACUUGUUAAUUUUAGUUUGAUGCUUUGUUAAUGAACAUCUGUUUGAGUGCAGUUUUCGAUUUAUUUCCCCUAUUUCUUAUUGUUGUUUUUCCCUAUUUCCCCUGUUUCAUUCUUUUUUCGUAUAAAUGUAUUAACUUCAUUUAGAGUGUGCGAUUUAAAUCAUAUUUGAGCUUUGUUCCCAGCCUCAUUUGGAUAUUCAAUUUGGCAUAAACGUAUCUAAAUCUGUUUGUUCUUA